GUAAGCCGAUCAUCGGUUACCAGCGGUGCAUUAAGUGUGUCAAGGGUCAUCUGGUUUAUAGUCCCGGUUUCCAGUCCCUGGGUGGUACGUUACGCAAGAAGGGGUCUUUGUUGUUGGAUCAGCUCUGGUGAGUGUCAACUCAAUUCAGUGUGGAAGUCUAUAUCGACAGUGUUAGUUUAGUGUGAGCCUCUUUGGAACCAGAU